GGGAUGAGCUGUGGAUAGGGGUGAAAGGCCAAUCAAACUUCGUGAUAGCUGGUUCUCUCCGAAAUGCAUUUAGGUGCAGCGUUGCGUGUUUCUUGCCGGAGGUAGAGCUACUGGAUGGCCGAUGGGCCCUAAAAGGUUACUGACGUCAGCCAAACUCCGAAUGCCGGUAAGUGAGAGCGCAGCAGUGAGACUGUGGGGGAUAAGCUUCAUAGUCGAGAGGGAAACAGCCCAGAUCGCCGGCUAAGGUCCCCAAGUCGUGGCUAAGUGGGAAAGGAUGUGGGACUCCCAAAACAACCAGGAGGUUGGCUUAGAAGCAGCCAUCCUUGAAAGAGUGCGUAAUAGCUCACUGGUCGAGUGGUUCUGCGCCGACAAUGUAGCGGGGCUCAAGUACACCGCCGAAACCGCGGCAAUCAACAUGUGUUUGUUGGUUGGGUAGGGGAGCGUCGUGCACGACGGUGAAGCACCUGGGUAACUUGAUGGUGUGGAGUGUGUGCGAGUGAGAAUGCAGGCAUGAGUAGCGAAAGACGGGUGAGAAACCCGUCCUCCGAAAGACCAAGGGUUCCAGGGUCAAGCUAAUCUGCCCUGGGUAAGUCGGGACCUAAGGCGAGGCCGUCAGGCGUAGUCGAUGGACAACGGGUUGAUAUUCCCGUACCGGCGAAGAACCGCCCAAGUCAAUCCAGUAAUGCUAAGCACCCGAAUACCACGGGUUCUCCUUUGGGAGUUUCUGUGGGGCUAGCGUGCGACCCUAUGCUGGUGCGGCUAACGUAUUAACAGGUGUGACGCAGGAAGGUAGCCGGGCCGGGCAAUGGAAAUGACCUGGUCUAAGGGUGUAGGGCUGCCGGUAGGUAAAUCCGCCGGCUGUAUGCCUGAGACCUGAUGGGCGCCCACAUGGUGGGUGAUCCGGUGAUCCUAUGCUGCCUAGAAAAGCAUCGGCGCGAGGUUCAAACUGCCCGUACCCUAAACCGACA
rnacentral:rRNA from 1 species